UCCGUAGGUGAACCUGCGGAGGGAUCAUUACCGAAGUU
rnacentral:rRNA from 1 species